AGAUGAACUGAUAUGAUAUCAAUCCAGUGCACUUACAUCCUCGCCGUUCUUUCCAGGGGGGCCGGCAGCUCCACGGGGACCCAUGGCACCCUGAAGCGAAAAUCAAACAUAAGAGAGAGAUGCAGUUAUUAUACCGUCAUCGGGGCAGAUGGGGCAGCACUCGUCGUGGGGGAUGAUGGGGUUGGGGCAGUCCGUUGUAUCCUCGCAGAUGACCUCAUCGCACAUCACCGUGCCACUGUCGCACACACAGAUCUGACAUGGCUCCGGCUUCCACACAUCCCGGUCUGCAAACACCUGGCCGUCCAGAGUGCAGCUUUUGCCCGUGCCUGAGGGGGGCGACACAGAGGGAGAGGGACGAUCUCAGAAGCCGUCCAGCCACGUAGAGAAAAUCCACUUUCCAAACCCAGUAAAGAAAAAAAUGCAAUAAAGUAAAAGGGGAAAAAGUCUGAGAAGCUCCAGUAAACAGUGAUGAAACUUACGGUCGUCCUCGCCCUGCGCUCUGACCAGAAGCACUGCUGCGCUGAGCAGCAGCGCCAGCCGCAAAUCCACAAAGCUGAACAUGUCUAGAUGCCACUAGACAUGUAGACUCUUUGAGGCAAGAGAGGAAAAAAAGUUGGGGAUGUUUCUUUCUGCUACACUCCACUCAUACACGGGUGUUUGGGGCAGGAUCCACUCGUCUGUUCACAAUCCUCCUGACCCCAGCAGAAAACUCCCUACUGCCUACACUGACUUUCCACAAGGGUUUUUAUAUGGGAGCCUCAAGAACUGGGAGGUACCGGAGACUGGACCGACUGUAGGGACGCACCCUCAUUACCCCGUUGCUGCUUCUGCUCACGUUUAGGGAAGACAAGAAUGGACGACUCCUUCAAAGGAAAAAAAAAAAACAG